rnacentral:lncRNA from 1 species
UACAAUACAUACUACUAAAAGUUAAACAAAUGACAACCAGAAGUCAAAUGAAGCUAAUGAAAAUCAGAGGAGGAUGAAAAUCAUUCCUUCUUCUUUACUCCCUACCCUAGAGAGGAAAACCAUUACAAAUGAUCACCUCCUUCCAAUUCUGUAGCACAGCACCCUGUAUCUUAUUCUAGUGGCAUCUGUUCCGAUCUCCCAUAGUCAGAGUGGCAGUUUCAGCUUUCCAUGCCAGGCACAGCUUUCUUUUCUCAUAAUGAAUUCUGCCUUUCCAGCGUAUCAGGCAUAAUGUGGUUGCUAUGGAACUGAGUUUGCCUUUUGCUGUUAAAAGAUGAUGGGCUUUCUCAUUUAGCAGCAUGCUGUUCCGUGGUCAGGGCCUGGAAGGGCCUCCAGCAUCAGGCACACCAGAGGAGGCUGAUGUCCCCAUUUCAGUUCUUUAUGAUCCAAUCUACAUUUUCCAUACAUGUUCUUUGCUGUUUUAUUUUUUUAAUUUCACUCCAUGAAACACAGGUGGCCACUAAGGAUUCUUGAACAGACUCUCCCAUUUUUGGAAUGGGGAAAAGCACAGAGGUAAGAUCUGUAGCUUCGGUUGUUAUACAUCUGCUCCCUCUUACUGCAAGCGCUUACACCAACCCAGCAGCAGCCUGAGAGACCAGGAGGGAUUCACGUUGCUGCAGGUGGGUAGAUAUUCCACAGGUUGCUCUCCUGGUUCGAUACUACCAGCCAGGAUUAUUUGGCAUCAGGAAUAAGUUCUCCCCGUGGCUGAAUGCAUUGCCAAGGCGCAGCGGAGAGAUGAGGGGCUCGCUCGUUCAGCCUGAUGCAGGGCUGUGCUGCGGAGCACGGACACAGGGCUGCAGCCCCUGAGCGCCUGGAGGAAGCGCAGCCGCUCCUGCAGGCACGGAAGGUGUCCAUCCUUCUCCCAGAUAAGGAGCGGGCAGCCCCGGCCCCGCGGCUCGGCGCUGCGCGCUGCUCCACACGUACCGGGAGACCGGAGGAAGGAUUUCCUCUGCUCGCUCCCAGCCCCUGCACGCAGCCCGAGGAUGAAUCACGAGCCUACUACUGCGAGAUACCAGGGAGCUUUUCCAGCAUCCUGGAUGGCGCCUACCUCAGCCCCAAAAGAAAGCUCUGUGUAAGUGGUGACACGUCAGCUGCACGUUUCAUUUUGCUGUCCCCUAUGGCAGGAGAAGUGAAGGUGGAAAAAAGCAGAAAUCCCACAGGCUGUGACAAGCAGCAUGCAGCACAUUGCCUGUGCUCUGCAUACGACCAAAAGAAAUGGAAAGUGCUAAUGACACCACAACAGCAAUCAUGUCAGAUCUCCUGCAAACAUGAGCUGAAUUUGCUCACAGCAACAAGGAACAAUUUCCAGAGAGAACCUCAGUGUAACAGCCAGUAA